UCUCCCAAGCGAACGUUAUACGUCUUUACCAACGCUUCCAGGCCUUGGAUAAGGAUGAAAAAGGGUACCUCAGCAAGGACGAUCUCGAAGGUAUCGGAGAGCUAGCCGUGAACCCCAUCGGGGACCGGAUUAUCAAUGCUUUCUUCCAAGAUGGG